rnacentral:lncRNA from 1 species
AGACUUGGGUAAGCCGGCAUCGGUGAGCAUCCUCUGAGCAUACAGUGCCCAGGCAAAUAGGCCAACAGGGAGGACAGUGCCCCCACUAUGAGAUUUCGACGCCUGACUCCUGGCUACUUCCGGGUGCUACAGAUGCAGGUGGCUGGGGAGCUGAAGGCAGAGCCCCGGAGUCCCCUGGUUGGGAUUGUGGCUACAUUGUUGGCUGUCCUCGGGUUAGGUGGCUCCUGCUAUGCAGUAUGGAAGAUGGUGAAGCAGCGGCAACCAUCACAGGCCCCGUGAUGAGGCGGGUAGCCUCUCGCCCAGGCUUGGAGGGUUCGACACUCAGCUGCUUCAGCCUGGGAAAAAGAAGAGUUGGAGAUCGGAGCUCACCGAGUGCAAACCCUUCCUGCAUGGCACCCAUCCGCCAGUCCUCUACUGACCCCUCCAUACCUUUUCUUGUGGUCUUUGGAUCGGAAAUGGGUCUUCAGGUUGGCUGAAUCGAUGAAGUACCUCCUGCAGGAAUGUAGGGUCCGGCCGCCGCUUCUUGGCCUUCAUCUGGCGGGCUAAGGAAUGUGCUCGGUGCGCGCCGGUCCGCCGAGAGCGACCCAUGAUCAGAGAGACACCCACACACAAGACCAAGAAACAGGGAGUAGGGAAAAGACCCACACGUGUUGGCGCUUCCGGGCCGCCCAGUGACGUCACGAGAGGCCCGCCCGGGGGCGGAGCAGGAUUGGACAGACUGCCUCUGAUGACGUCACGGUCGGGUUGGCCGUUUGAGCGCCCCCAGAUGGUCGUCGAUGAUAGUGACUGGGCUCUCGCGGGGCGUGAGCGGGCUUGAGGGGAGCCGGUCCCACUAUUCUGCCCGCCCCAUCCUCACUUGCCGGUUUCCACACCCCGAAUUUCAGUGGUAGGGGAUGCUUUUAACGUCUCUGGAAGCACUGUUGCUUGUGCCAUGAAUAAAUUACUUCAUAAAUGAGAA